rfam:Hordeum vulgare subsp. vulgare, WGS project CAJW01000000 data, contig: morex_contig_273259
GGCCCGAUGCCACGUCUCCAUUAGCGACUAGCCUUGACUGGAGAUGCUACAUUGUGCCGAGAGAGAGUUUUUGGACGUUUCACAUUUGAUAGGAACCUGUGGCUGUGAUUCUGUCGGCACACAGAGCCGUUUUUUGUGAUUACACUU